GACGAACGCUGGCGGUGUGCUUAACACAUGCAAGUCGAACGGUAAGGCCCUUUCGGGGGUACACGAGUGGCGAACGGGUGAGUAACACGUGAGUAACCUGCCCUCAUCUCUGGGAUAACAGUCGGAAACGGUUGCUAAUACUGGAUAUGAGCUUGCAAGGCAUCUUGUGGGUUGGAAAGAUUUUUUUUGGUUGGGGAUGGACUCGCGGCCUAUCAGCUUGUUGAUGAGGUAGUGGCUCACCAAGGCUUCGACGGGUAGCCGGCCUGAGAGGGCGACCGGCCACAUUGGGACUGAGAUACGGCCCAAACUCCUACGGGAGGCAGCAGUGGGGAAUAUUGCACAAUGGACGGAAGUCUGAUGCAGCAACGCCGCGUGCGGGAUGACGGCCUUCGGGUUGUAAACCGCUUUCAAUUGUGACGAAGCUUUUUUGUGACGGUAGCAGUAGAAGAAGCACCGGCUAACUACGUG
rnacentral:rRNA from 1 species